rnacentral:rRNA from 1 species
GCACCUAGUGGCGAACGGGUGAGUAACACGUAUCUAACCUACCUUUUAGUGGGGGAUAACAGUUGGAAACGACUGCUAAUACCGCAUACGACACCAUUAUGGCAUCAGAAGGUGUUAAAAGGCCCGUUUGGGUCGCUAGAAGAUGGGGAUGCGGCGUAUUAGCUAGUAGGUGGGGUAAUUGCCCACCUAGGCAAUGAUACGUAGCCGAACUGAGAGGUUGAUCGGCCACAUUGGGACUGAGAUACGGCCCAGACUCCUACGGGAGGCAGCAGUAGGGAAUUUUUCACAAUGGACGAAAGUCUGAUGAAGCAAUGCCGCGUGAGUGAUGACGGUCUUCGGAUUGUAAAGCUCUGUUGUAAGGGAAGAAUAGGUAAAAGAGGAAAUGCUUUUAUUUUGACGGUACCUUACCAGAAAGCCACGGCUAACUAUGUGCCAGCAGCCGCGGUAAUACAUAGGUGGCAAGCGUUAUCCGGAUUUAUUGGGCGUACAGGGUGCGUAGGCGGUUCGAUAAGUUUGAGGUUAAAUCCCGGGGCUCAACCCCGGCUCGCCUUGAAAACUGUCUUACUAGAAUACACGAGAGGUAGAUGGAAUUCCUUGUGUAGCGGUGAAAAUGCGUAAAAUAUAUUGGAGA